AUGGUUUUAUCUCUCCCGACUUGUAACACGGACCAAGGAGUCUGACAUGUGUGCGAGUCAACGGGCCAGUAAACCCGUAAGGCGCAAGGAAGCUGAUUGGCGGGAUCCCCUUGAGGGUUGCACCGCCGACCGACCUUGAUCUUCUGAGAAGGGUUCGAGUGAGAGCAUACCUGUCGGGACCCGAAAGAUGGUGAACUAU
rnacentral:rRNA from 1 species